rnacentral:rRNA from 1 species
UACAGAGGGGGCAAGCGUUAUUCGGAAUUAUUGGGCGUAAAGGGCGCGUAGGCGGCUUGACAAGUGGAAGGUGAAAUCCCUCGGCUUAACCGAGGAACUGCCUUCCAGACUGUCUGGCUUGAGACCGGGAGAGGUGAGUGGAAUUCCCAGUGUAGCGGUGAAAUGCGUAGAUAUUGGGAGGAACACCGGUGGCGAAGGCGGCCCCCUGGACCGGUACUGACGCUGAGGCGCGAAAGCGUGGGUAGCAAACGGG